rnacentral:lncRNA from 1 species
GACUGACUUGACAAGGGAGGAAGCAACCAAAAAUUCUGCCCUUCUUCAGUAUCUGAGUAUGGUAUUUUGCUUCAACAUCCCUCUUAGAUGAAGUUAUUGAUUGAAAAUCAUUUAAGUUUGCCCCAUGGUAAAAGAUCAAGUCCUCAGAAAGAUCUCCAAAGCAUUUACGGUUUGUUUUGUUUUGGUAAGUUUACCAUGAUUUUGCUUGAAUUGCUCUCCGUUGAUCUUCUCAGCUAAGAUUGAGGUAGAGUUGCACAGCAGAAGAGGGCUGCAUGUACCUGGGGGUACAAGGAUUGCUUCCUAAACAAUGAUAAGCACACAGCCACCUAAUAGUCUGGAUCGGCUGAGACCAUUCUGAUUUCAAACACCCAGUCCCCUUGCCUUCCUAAGAACCCCCGUGUUUCUCAGACUGAAGAUGUGUUUUGAAUUUUGUUCACGAAGUGAGGCCGCUGUUGAAACUCGUCAAGACUGGGAAAGAGCCAAAGUGGGAAGGAGCAUGGGUUGAUUGGCACGAAAGUAGGUCUGUUGAUAAAGAAUGGAAGUAAAGGGGACAUCAGGUAGAAGCUUUUGCUGUGAGUCAGAAGGACAAUUUAAAAGUUGCCUAAAGAGGCACACGCCAUCUCUGCUGCUGCCUUCCAGUUGGAAGGGAAACUCAGGUUCCUGCCUAAUGGCCGAAGCCCUUCACAGAAUGUCCCCCACCCCUACCGGCUGCCCACUGCCCCUCCCCCUCUGCAGAAUGUCUGGGGUCCUAUGUUCCAAAAACCUGUUACAUUCAAAUUUUAACUGCUUCAGUUGGACUCAGGAGCAUCUGCUGAGCCAGGUCACUCUCUGGGUCUUACCCUUGGCUUUUCUCAUUGCGGAAACUGCCAGACAACGGUGGUCAGUGCCCAGCCUGAGGGGAUGGCUUCAAAUGGAGCAUACCCAGUGCUGGGACUGGGCGUGACCAUGAACCCUGGCACCUCCCUGUCUGUGUUCACGGCUCUGCCCUUCACCACACCCGCUCCCGGCCCAGCACACGGGCCGCUCCUUGUGACUGCAGGGGUUCCUCCAGGCGGCCCUCUGGUGCUGUCUACCUUCCCCAGCACACCUCUGGUGGCACAACAGGAUGGCUGCGGCCCGAGUGGGGCCGGGGCUUCCAACGUCUUUGUCCAGAUGAGGACAGAGGUGGGGCCUGUGAAGGCCACUCAGGCACAGACCUUGGUCCUAACUCAGGCCCCCCUAGUCUGGCAGGCUCCAGGCACCCUCUGUGGAGGUGUUGUGUGUCCACCUCCCCUACUUCUGGCAGCUGUUCCUGUGGUGCCU